rnacentral:lncRNA from 1 species
AACUUAAUACUUUUAGAAAUUUAGACGAUAGAAGCAGGUCAUCCGAAACAAGGGUAAGCACAUCCAAGCGUGACAUGAAACAAAGUAAGUCAAUUAAUAACGAUAAAAAAGAAGAGGGUAUACAAAUGGAAAAAAUAAAAAUAAAAAACCAAAGGAGAAGAUCAGGUAGCAAUAUGUCUUCGAACGCAUAUUCCGAAAAAAAUAAUGAAGAUGGAGAUAUGCAAAGUUCGGACGAAUAUAAAAAAAAAAGAAAAAGAAGAGUAGAAGAACAUCAUAGACAUGAAAGGGAUGACCGAUAUCAACGAUACGAUCGACAUGAAAGGGAUGACAGACAUGAAAGAAAUGACAGACGUGACAGAUAUGACAGACAUGAUCGACGUGAAAGAUACGACAGAUAUAAUCGACAUGACCGACAUGAUCGACAUGAUCGACAUGAUCGACAUGAUCGAUACGAUCGACAUGAUCGAUACGACUCAGAAGAAAGAAGAAGAAAAAAAAAAAAGUCAAGUAAACUAAAUUCUAAUUUAUCUUAUUCCCAUGAAAGGUCAAGAUCUAAAGAAAGAAAAAGAAGAAAAUUACAAGCAGAAUGUAUAAAAAAAGCAGGAGGGUUUAAAAAAUUAGCUGAUAUGGAAGGGCACGAAACAACGAAUGUAUUUUGGGAUGGAUUUCAAUGGGUAGCUAAAACAAAUCAAUCGAAUUUGAAUCAAUUAGAUCCAGCUAUUAUGAAUUCAACUCGAAAAUUAAGGAGGUUAUAUUUUGGUAAUUUACCUUUGCAUUUAGGUUUAACCGAAAAUGCAUUUCAAGACAUAGUUUGGGAAGAAAUGAAAAAAAGAAAAUACUGCAAUAAUGAAGCAAUAAAUCCAGUAUUAUAUGUAUGGUUUGCUAAAGAUAAAGGUAAUUAUGGUUUUGUUGAAUUUGCAACAGUUGAAGAAACAGAAAGGGCAUUAACAAUGGAUGGUAUGUUGUGUAAAGGUGUAUCUUUGAAAGUAUCUAGGCCUAAUGAUUAUUCAACUAAUACAGUUAAACAAAAUCAAACUAUAAAUAAACAAAAUAAUAAUAUAAGUCCAUUAAUGUUGGUAAACAAUAAUAAUAUAAGUAAUGUUUCAUCUAUGAAUACUAAUUUAAUAAACAAUUUACCAAACUUGAAUAAUUUAUUAUGUGUAAAUAAUGUAACAAAUCUUUAUAAUAAACCACCGCCUCCACCUGGAGCACCACCACAAAAUAUACAAAAAGAAACAAGUAUAAACAACAGUACUAUUAAUAGCGGUAUGAUGAUGAUGGUAAGACCAACUGACAUAAACACUACUAUACAAACUAAAUAUUUGAGAGUUUUAGAAAUUGUAUCCGCGGAAUCUAUAUUAACUGAAACACAUUCUUCUCUUUUAGAAGAUAUAAAAGAAGGUUUCCAUAGCCAAGGUAUAAUUGUUAACGCAAUUUUAAUUACAAACGAAAAUGUACAUAACACACCAUUCAAUAUAGGAGAUGUGAUAAUUGAGUUUGAGUAUAACUCGUCAGUUGAUAACUGUAUUGCUAAUAUGUGUCAUCGAAAAUAUGAGGGUAAGCCUAUACGUAUGGUAAAAAUGGAUGAAACUACAUACAACACCUUUGUAAAACCGAUAAUUAAAAAUAUGUUCGAGCAAGAUAAUUAGAGCUUACGCUGAUUGCGUACAUACGUCUUCACACACACACACACACAUACAUAUAUAUAUAUAUAUAUAUAGCACAUUAUAACUUAAAUUAUUUUCGUAAAAAAAAAAAAAAAAAAAAAAAAAAAAUUAUUUGUCCAUUUGCUCUUUUCAUUGUAUUAUUUAUUUAUUUAUUUAUUUAUUUUUUUUUUUUAAUGACACUUUUUUUUAAAAUAUAUGUCAGUUCUACUCUAAAUGGACAAUACAUAAACCAUCUGUAAUAAUAAGAAUUACAUAAUCUAAUUAUGCUGUUUACGUACUUUUAUAUAUGUACAUACAAAUCUGCA